rnacentral:tRNA from 1 species
CUUACCACACACAAAGCAUAACACUGAAAAUGUUAAGACAGUUUGUUAACUCUCUUUCAC